rnacentral:miRNA from 1 species
UCUUGAUUGUUGUUGGUGUCACU